rnacentral:piRNA from 1 species
UAGCACAUUAAAGUCGCUCGGUCC